GUGUUUUUAGGAUGAGCUGGAGUGGGGCAAAGAGAACUGCAUUCAGAUCAAACGGAUACAAGAGAGGUGGCCGAGUUGUUUGAGGAUCUAAAGAAUUGAGUGUCACAAUUCAACAUGCACAUCAGCGAAACUUUUCCCUCUGACUACACCAGCACGCACGCACAGAAAUUCAUAGUGCAGGUGGCGAUUGCAGGCACAUUUUAUCCGAACUGCUUCCUCCAGGGAACUCUAUGGAAACGACCCCAGGACCACCAUAGUGGUGUGUAAUCUCCCUCCAUUUGCAUUCCUCUACUAUAAACAGCUCCAGUCUCUCUUCAGACACUGUGGUUAAAUCAAAUCCAUCUCCUUUGACAGCUCCAGGGCCUAUGUAGAGUUCUACCGCUCGUCAAUGAGAGGUUCUGGCGUUCUCCCAGAGGUCUCUCUGUCUCUCCUCCUCACGCAGCAGAGACUUCCUCUCCAUCUCAACGUUUAACCCGCUGGAGAGGUGGAGACUUGGGCAGGGGGGUAGUGUAUCUCACACCUCAGAUAUACACGGGUGAAUGUGGAUUUUCAGAAUCAGUCAGUGAGCCCUGUCGGGGUUCUGAGCAGCUCCAUUGAGUUGGAGAAUCUUCCGUCUAACCCUGUCUUUAUCGUCAAUAUCACCAAGGUGUCUGUUCCGCCUCUUUCACUUUCAGUGCACAAAUAAAAAAGAAGCAGUGGCUCCUGUGUGUGUGUGUGUGUGUGUGUGUGUGUGUGUGUGUGUGUGUGUGUGUGCACUAACAGGAGGUCCAGGUGCAGCCUUUGGAUAUUGAUGAAGAUUUACUGCCCCUGCAAGACCUUCCUCAACUGCGUAGUCUGGAGCAAAGGAUGCAACAGAGCCCAGAUUACAAGCAAAAUCUGGUAAACUGGUUGGCGCUUAUUGACGGGGUGUAUGUGCGUGACUGCACCUGGCGCAUAUUGAAGAGGGUGAUUGCUAACUCCCUGGCAAAGAAUCUCAAUUGGAGGGGAGUCAAUGGAAAGACUUCACUGUCCGCUCUCCAACUCGGAGAGGUCGUGAUUGGAGACGCACCUACGUCUUAAAGUAUUAAAGAUCAUCAAAGGUUACUCUGCCCUUGGCUGCAGUUCAUAGAAACCUCUUCACGGCUAAAGCUGCAGAGAUGGAGGUCGAGGGGACCAUGAAGAGGCGGCUCCAGCUGGCAUCAGAGCGAGAGUGUGGGCGCAAGAGCAGACUUUUGAUAAAGGAGGGUAUUUACAGUGUUUUAACUGCUGUGUUUUUUGCGCUAUUUAUUAAUUUGUUAAAAUGUUCAUAUUAUAGUCUAUUUUUAAUUGUUUAUAAAAGUCCUUCCUGUUUUUAAGUGGCUGAAUUAGUGUGUGUGCGCGCAUGUGUGUGCGCGCGUGUGUGUGCGUGUUGGUAGCUGGGUGGGUAUAUAGUUCUGGUCUGAAGUUGACAUACCCCUUGCAGGAGAAAGAGACCCUGUGUAAUCUGUUUAAACGACUUUUACGCAUGUUUUGCAGAGAGAUCAUUUUCACCUUGCUGUUCGGGUCUCUGUCCCACACUGUUACAGUGCAGUAUUGAGAGCGUGAGGGAGAUCGAUUUUCUAUCAGAAACAGUAACUAUAUAAAAUGGACGUCAACACGCACCACUCUGUGAGGUCAUUUCUCGCUCUCAACAGAGUAGUUGUGAUUGUUCAGUGUUUACGACGGGGCCAAAACAUUCAAGGCCAUGGUGUAUUUUGACUGUUCCUGUAGCAUAAUCUCACCAAACUGUGUGUACACGAGUCCACAGACACUGAGUCUAUUCACAGUACUGUGUAGAUGUUCUGCUCAUCCUCACUGUACCGUAAAGGUCAGAACCUCACAUCUGUAACCUUGUAGCUUUCCUUAAUCAACACGACUGCAACCAAGCUUGUGUAGCACUACUAUUUUUAGAUCUCCGCCUCUCAAAAGUAUUGGCGCCCUGCGCGGCCGCCUCUCAAAUCUUUUGGCGGCCAGCUCUCAAAUCUGUUGGCGCCCUAUGCGUCCGGCUGUCAAAUCUAUUGGCGCCCUAUGCGUCCGGCUCUCAAAACUAUUGGCGCCCUUCACGGGCAGUUCUCAAAAGUAUUGGCACCCGAUCUGAAUUUUGCCACGGCAAGCACCACUCACAUUUUCUUCAGGAAAUGUACCUUAAAAUAAUAAAAAGUCUCUCACUAGGCUGUGUGUCGAGAUAAACGUGAAAACAUCUUGAGCUUGUGUUCACCACAGACCUUAUUUCCGGCAUUUAACCCAAAACCCCAUUGACGGAAGUGCUAAUACGCUGAAUCGUUUCUGGGUUUCACGACUCAUUCCUGCAGCACUCUGUAAGACGGGCUGUUGUUAUCAAACCAUCGAAGUAAGAUAAGCGGCUUUGGUAAUGAUUCUUUAAAUGAACCAAUUCAGAAUCCUCUUCUUGAAUCGUUUGAGUCGUUCUCACUCGGUCAGGGUUGCACGUGUGGGUUGCUUUUCCUGCACGUGUAAUCAGCACGUGUUCACAGACCGUAAAUCCCGACCCCAUGGUAGACACUUGACAGAAAUUUCAUACUAAAGUAAGUAUUUUAUAUUUUCUGGGUCUAAACAGAGCAGAAGUAUUGCUAACGUGUUGUACAGAUUCUAUUGGACUGGUGAACUGUGUGGAUUUGUAUAUUUAACCCAGUUUAAUAUGGCCUGCUUUGUUCAGUCAGAGACAAGUAAAUCUGUUCUAAUGUUCAUUUAUUUUAAAACACAUGUUUGUUUACACAUGAAUACGUACUUUAUGUUUUCAGAAUGGUGGAGAUUUGGCUCUUAACUAUGGUUAAGUGGGGGGUACUAUAAAAUGCACAGUUCUGAGACACUAUAUACCUAUACUGUGAAAUCAGUACAUGUGUGUGUUUAGAAUGAUUAUAGCUUUUGGGGAAAAAACUAUUCUUGAAUCUAUUAGUCCUUGUUCUGAUGCACCUGUAACGUCUCCCUGAGGGCAACAGAUCAGAGCCAGGGUGAGAGCUGUCCUCAAUGAUGGUUUUUCCUCUGCUGAGGCAACGGGGGGUGUAAAUAUCCAUCACGGAGGUGUUGUGGAUAAAAAAUGUCAUAAAAUAAACAUAAGGGAGACCUAGCAUCCAGCAAAGGGGAGAAGAAGAAAAGAUGGGCACCUAGACACAUAGAAGCGGGAUUAGGCGGACAUUGACAAAUUGGAAUUACACUUUAAAGAUCUUUAAGAGCAGUAGUAGUCAAAAAAGUCAAAAAGAGGUAUACGAGCUGAGCUGAGGAGUGCUAAUACACACACACACGCUCGUACAGUCAAGGGCGGGCAAGUAGACACAACAUACACACACAUGAAUAACUUUAAUAAUCUUAUAGUAAUAGAGAAACUCUCUAUAAAAAAACAGAAUAGUAGGAUAUGCAGGACAGUAUGGAGGAUAUGCAGGAGCUUAAGCUCAUCACUUCUGAGAAUUCUCAUCGGUGUGGAUCUCGUGUGGUGGAACGGAACAAUAAAUCUGGACCCUUGCUUCUUCUCACUCACGGCUGGUGUCUUUUUUUUCUAUCUCCAACUGGGCUCAGAGGUAGAUGUGAGUGUUGGCUUCUAUGUUGAAUUUUAAGUGUUUUUGGGUAAUAGGCUAUAUUUGAGCCAACAGAGGGGAGAGGUAAUAAAUAAACUUAUAAAUGUGAUUACUUGAUGACCGUAGACAGAACUCUAUACAUGUGAAAUGUUUUGUUGAAGUUCAGAUGAAUCUCUGAUGUACAGAAUAUUCAACAGAGUUCUGCAGAAAGAUUUUGAAUGCCUGUCAUUCACCAGAACAAAUUUGCAGUUGAACAGUCUGUCUAAAAGAAAAAAUCUAAACACACAAUAUAAAAUUCCUGCAGUGUGAAUAAAGCCUUUGUGUUGCUUUUAGCAAACAUGUCUAGUACUCUCGGUUCAAUGUACACAAUUUACCCCAUUUAAAUGCAUUUUGGAAAUUGUUCCACAUGGCCUUAAAGUGUGAAUAUUCACUGUAUGCCAAAUAAGUAAUCAAAGAAUGGAACUGAAUUUUUUCUUCUCUAAUGGACCAUUAAUCACAAUU